rnacentral:rRNA from 1 species
UACGGAGGGUGCAAGCGUUGUUCGGAAUUAUUGGGCGUAAAGCGCGUGUAGGCGGCUGUCUAAGUCUAAUGUGAAAUCCCGGGGCUUAACUCCGGAACUGCAUCGGAUACUGGACAGCUAGAGGAUGAGAGAGGGUGAUGGAAUUCCAGGUGUAGGGGUGAAAUCCGUAGAUAUCUGGAGGAACAUCGGUGGCGAAGGCGGUCACCUGGCUCAUUUCUGACGCUGAGACGCAAAAGCGUGGGGAGCAAACAGG